rnacentral:rRNA from 1 species
AUUAAACGUCUGGCGGCAUGCCUUACACAUGCAAGUCGAACGGCAGCACGGGGGCAACCCUGGUGGCGAGUGGCGGACGGGUGAGUAAUACAUCGGAACGUACCCUGGAGUGGGGGAUAACGUAGCGAAAGUUACGCUAAUACCGCAUAUUCUGUGAGCAGGAAAGCAGGGGAUCGCAAGACCUUGCGCUCUGGGAGCGGCCGAUGUCGGAUUAGCUAGUUGGUGGGGGUAAAAGGCCUACCAAGGCGACGAUCCGUAGCGGGUCUGAGAGGAUGAUCCGCCACACUGGGACUGAGACACGGUCCAGACUCCUACGGGAGGCAGCAGUGGGGAAUUUUGGACAAUGGGGGCAACCCUGAUCCAGCCAUUCCGCGUGAGUGAAGAAGGCCUUCGGUUGUAAGCUCUUUCAGCAGGAACGAAACGGUGGUCCCGUAAUACGGGCUACGUAAUGACGGUACU